rnacentral:rRNA from 1 species
UACGAAGGGGGCUAGCGUUGCUCGGAAUCACUGGGCGUAAAGCGCACGUAGGCGGCUUUCUAAGUCAGGGGUGAAAUCCUGGAGCUCAACUCCAGAACUGCCUUUGAUACUGGAAAGCUUGAGUUCGGGAGAGGUGAGUGGAACUGCGAGUGUAGAGGUGAAAUUCGUAGAUAUUAGGAAGAACACCAGUGGCGAAGGCGGCUCACUGGAUCGGUACUGACGCUGAGGUGCGAAAGCGUGGGGAGCAAACAGG